CCUACGGGAGGCAGCAGUGGGGAAUAUUGCACAAUGGGGGAAACCCUGAUGCAGCGACGCCGCGUGAGUGAAGAAGUAAUUCGUUAUGUAAAGCUCUAUCAGCAGGGAAGAAAAUGACGGUACCUGAGUAAGAAGCCCCGGCCAACUACGUGCCAGCAGCCGCGGUAAGACGUAGGGGGCAAGCGUUAUCCGGAUUUACUGGGUGUAAAGGGAGCGUUGACGGCAGUGCAAGUCUGGAGUGAAAGGCGGGGGCUCAACCCCCGGACUGCUCUGGAAACUGUACGGCUGGAGUGCAGGAGAGGUAAGUGGAAUUCCUAGUGUAGCGGUGAAAUGCGUAGAUAUUAGGAGGAACACCAGUGGCGAAGGCGGCUUACUGGACUGUAACUGACGUUGAGGCUCGAAAGCGUGGGGAGCAAACAGGAUUAGAUACCCCAGUAGUC
rnacentral:rRNA from 1 species